CAAGUCUUUUCCUCGCUAUUCAAUAAAGCAGUUUCUGUACAGUCUAUUAUAUCUUUAAUUUAGAAUACCUUAUUUAAUUUGCAGGUGCAACCCAAGCUCUUCUACAAGGCUGUCUCACUUUUGGGGCAUUCUCAUUUGUUAUUAAAGGCCUAAACAAGCAGCAGUCGGCUUUAGCUCAACCAUUUUCUGUGAGGAAGAAAAGUGAGCAAGUUCGAAGUUCGUACCUUGGUGCUCACCCUUCAACUUUCACUCUUAGGAGAACUAAAAGCGGGUUUCACCUUCUUUUGCAAUUCCUUGAAGAAUCGCAAGAAGGGCACUUCUCACCCAGCCUAAAAAAGGUUGUUCCAGAAAGGUGGCACAGCUUGGACCUCUUUAUGAGAAUUUAGGGUUUUUGCUUGCUAGACAAUGAUAGGCGAAUCAUUGCAAGUAGCAGUAAUUAUGCUGCAAACUGAAUCCAGGAUGACUAACCUGGAGUCUUCAUGGUGGUCGCACUUCUCCUCCUCUCUGUUCCUUCUCCAAAACCCCUCUGUCGGCAGCGAACAGGUUGAUCACAUCUUGAGUUUUCCAACUGAUUUAUUCAAUCCUAUUGGUUCUGAUUAUGUCCCUCCAUAACAUUUGCAGCACCAUCUGCCUUGCUCUCAUCAUAGCUAGGCUUUCAAUUCCUCAGGGGGAAUGGUGGAUGUGAGAGUUUCUUUUACAGCAAUUCAAAGGGAAGAGCUUGAGAGACAAUGGACUCUUCCCCUAUUCCUCCACAUUCACUUUUACCAAUUUCCAAGAACACAUUAAAUCCCUCAAAAUAUAAGCCGAGGUAUGGAAAAGCUUCGAAUUCCUUGGUUUCCUCCAAUUAGUAUGCAUAGCUCUCAAAAAAGAAAGAAGUGAGGGUUGAAUGUCUACCCUCGAAUAUACAUAGACAGAUAUGGAAAAAAAAUUAGAAUGGUGAAGUGAGGGUUCAAUGACUUAUUACUCAUUUGGUUCUAUUUAAAUAAAGUUCGCUGAUUGGG